GGUCGGGGCUCUGAGGCUCACAAAGCCAGCAGAAGGCGCGGCGCAGUGGCUACCUGUGCUCCGAGCGCCCCCGCGGGAGCCGCGCUCUCCAGCAGCUCCAUCUGGCUCUCCUGCGCCACCGCCGCUACGGGAGGCGACUUGGACGUGUCGCUUUGGACCAUCGGCAAAAAGUCGACUCCAAGGCUGCGGGUCCCCUCCUCCACGACCCGGGUCCCCCGCUCCUCUUCGCCCCAGGAUCGGAGGCUCUCAGUGCGCGCGACGCCGCUGAAGCAUGUUGCAAAGCCUAGACUAGGCGGUGGCGCAGGCACGAGGCUGGGUGGCCGGGGCGAGGGGCGCCAGUUCUUUGGAGCUUCUGGGCCCGCGAGCGGCGGAGGCUGGGACUGCUGGGCGGGCUGGCUCCAGGGAAGGUCCCCGCCAGGAGGAGGGCGCUCCGGGAGCACGAGCCAGGGGGGAGGCGCGUCGGAAAGCGAGAGUGACAAACCACCGCCACUCCGAAAAGUUCUUCGCGGGAGGCGCGGGCCGCGUGGGCUCCGACUCAGCUGCGGCCCGUCGCCGUGGCACUCGCGCUGGAAAGUUUUCGAAGCCACGAAAGCCAGCCAGUCGCAGCUCCCUAGGGAGGUAA
rnacentral:lncRNA from 1 species